AUUAGAGUUUGAUCCUGGCUCAGGACGAACGCUGGCGGCGUGCCUAAAACAUGCAAGUCGAACGAGGGGGCAACCCCUAGUGGCGAACGGCGGAGUAAGACGUGAGCAACGUGCCCCAAAGCCCGGGACAAACGCAGAAAUGCCAUAAAUACCGGAUGUGGCCUUUUCUCGGCAUCGAGAGGAGAUUAAACGGUUUUUCGCUUUGGGAGCGGCUCACGGCCCAUCAGGUAGUUGGGGGGGUAACGGCCCACCAAGCCGACGACGGGUAGCGGGUCUGAGAGGAUGAUCCGCCCGAGUGGGACUGAGACACGGCCCACACACCUACGGGUGGCAGCAGUUGGGAAUCUUGCACAAUGGGGGAAACCCUGAUGCAGCGACGCCGCGUGGAGGACGAAGGGUCUAGGCCUGUAAACUCCUUUUACCGGGAAAGACUUAGGACGGUACCCGGGGAAUAAGGACCGGCUAACUACGUGCCAGCAGCCGCGGUAAGACGUAGGGUCCAAGCGUUGUCCGGAUUUACUGGGCGUAAAGAGCGCGUAGGCGGUCCGUUAAGUGUAGAGUGAAAGCUCCGGGCUCAACUCGGAAAUUGCUCUGCAUACUGACGGGCUCGAGGGCGGAAGAGGUUUGUGGAAUUCCUGGUGUAGCGGUGAAAUGCGUAGAUAUCAGGAGGAACACCCAUGGCGAAGGCAGCAAACUGGUCCGCAUCUGACGCUGAGGCGCGAAAGCGUGGGUAGCAAACAGGAUUAGAUACCCUGGUAGUCCACGCCCUAAACGAUGGAUACUAGGCGUGAGAGGUAUCGACCCCUCUCGUGCCGCAGCUAACGCACUAAGUAUCACGCCUGGGGAGUACGGCCGCAAGGUUGAAACUCAAAUGAAUUGACGGGGACCCGCACAAGCGGUGGAGCAUGUGGAUUAAUUCGAUACUAACCGAAGAACCUUACCCAGACUUGACAUCGAUGGUAAGCCUCCGAAAGGAGGCCCUCCCUCUCAAGGGGACCAGAAGACACUUGUUGCAUGGCUGUCGUCAGCUCGUGCCGUGAGGUGUACGGUUAAGUCCGCCAACGAGCGCAACCCUCGUCCUGUGUUACCAGCAUGAAAGAUGGGCACUCACAGGAGACCGCCGGUGUAAGCCGGAGGAAGGUGGGGAUGACGUCAAGUCAUCAUGGCCCUUACGACCAGGGCUACACACGUACUACAAUGGGAGGUACAGAGGGUUGCCAAGCCGCGAGGUGGAGCCAAUCCCAGAAAACCUCUCUCAGUCCGGAUCGCAGUCUGCAACUCGACUGCGUGAAGUCGGAAUCGCUAGUAAUCGCGAAUCAGCAUUGUCGCGGUGAAUACGUUCCCGGGCCUUGUACACACCGCCCGUCACACCAUGGGAGUUGGUUGCUCCAGAAGCAGGUAGUCUAACCGCAAGGGGGACGCUUGCCACGGAGUGGUCAAUGACUGGGGUGAAGUCGUAACAAGGUAACCAAU
rnacentral:rRNA from 1 species